CAUGGAUGGGCAUGCGGCGCAUUAGGUAGUUGGUGGGGCAACGGCCCACCAAGCCGACGAUGCGUAGGGGUUCUGAGAGGAAGGUCCCCCACAUUGGAACUGAGACACGGUCCAAACUCCUACGGGAGGCAGCAGUGAGGAAUAUUGGUCAAUGGCCGGAAGGCUGAACCAGCCAAGUCGCGUGAGGGAAUAAGGCCCUACGGGUCGUAAACCUCUUUUGCCAGGGAGCAAUGCCGUCCACGUGUGGACGGAAGGAGAGUACCUGGAGAAAAAGCAUCGGCUAACUCCGUGCCAGCAGCCGCGGUAAUACGGAGGAUGCGAGCGUUAUCCGGAUUUAUUGGGUUUAAAGGGUGCGUAGGCGGCCUGCCAAGUCAGCGGUAAAAUUGCGGGGCUCAACCCCGUACAGCCGUUGAAACUGCCGGGCUCGAGUGGGCGAGAAGUAUGCGGAAUGCGUGGUGUAGCGGUGAAAUGCAUAGAUAUCACGCAGAACCCCGAUUGCGAAGGCAGCAUACCGGCGCCCGACUGACGCUGAGGCACGAAAGUGCGGGGAUCAAACAGGAUUAGAUACCCUGGUAGUCCGCACAGUAAACGAUGAAUGCUAGCUGUCCGGGGGGAUUGACCCCUGG
rnacentral:rRNA from 1 species